AAGUCGUAACAAGGUUUCCGUAGGUGAACCUGCGGAAGGAUCAUUACCGAGUGCGGGCCCUCUGGGUCCAACCUCCCCACCCGUGUCUAUUGUACCUUGUUGCUUCGGCGGGCCCGCCGUUUCGACGGCCGCCGGGGAGGCCCUCGCGCCCCCGGGCCCGCGCCCGCCGAAGACCCCCAACAUGAACGCUGUUCUGAAAGUAUGCAGUCUGAGUUUGAUUACCAUAAUCAGUUAAAACUUUCAACAACGGAUCUCUUGGUUCCGGCAUCGAUGAAGAACGCAGCGAAAUGCGAUAACUAAUGUGAAUUGCAGAAUUCAGUGAAUCAUCGAGUCUUUGAACGCACAUUGCGCCCCCUGGUAUUCCGGGGGGCAUGCCUGUCCGAGCGUCAUUGCUGCCCUCAAGCACGGCUUGUGUGUUGGGCCCCCGUCCCCGGUUCUCCCCGGGGACGGGCCCGAAAGGCAGCGGCGGCACCGCGUCCGGUCCUCGAGCGUAUGGGGCUUUGUCACCCGCUCUGUAGGCCCGGCCGGCGCCAGCCGACACCCCAACUUUAUUUUCUAAGGUUGACCUCGGAUCAGGUAGGGAUACCCGCUGAACUUAACAU
rnacentral:misc_RNA from 1 species